rnacentral:lncRNA from 1 species
AUAGGAGCGGGGCCAACGGUCGCCCUGGCUGGGUCGCCCUGACUGUCCGACGCGCCCUGGCUCAGCCCCAGCAGAGUGCUGCUAUAGGGAGACGAUGCUAGAGAUUUUCCUAAAGCAAAUCCACACCUCACUACGUAUGGCGCCCGUUGCUCAGCCUCUGCAUCCACACCCCCCACAGACGCCCCAGGAGACCCCGCACAGCUUCUUGUAAACCAAGACAAGCCAGCCCUGGGCCUGGGGCUCCUCCCUGCACCCCACUUAGCCCUGCAACCUUCCAGCCCAACUACAAUUCUCAAGAUGAGGAGUCCAUGAAAAGGAGACUGACAGAUGACACUUUCCUCUGCCAUGACUGACAGGCAGCAGCAAGAGGGAAGACCGCGGUACUGGACAUCACGUGCGGGAACUGCCUCAAAGGUGGGGGCACCUUUCGGGCUGAGCUAACCCAGUCAACAGCAGACUGGAAAAAGACAAAGAACUGUGUGAGAUGGUGCUCAAAACCAGAAAGAUGAACUCUGCAAUGACGACAAAUGGAUUCGGUGUGAUGUGGGCGUGAUACAGAGAAACAUUCUUGAAGGUUCUGGAGCAGUUCAUUUUUCUCAGAGCUGGUAAACUCAUUGUUCGAAUCUUACAAGCACUAGUGUUCAACAUUUCUAAAACUGGGAGGGCCCAGUGAGGACUGGAUGGGCACACAAAUCUAUAAACGAGCACAGACGAACCCUGGGCUGCUGUGACCGCCAGCACCUCUUCCCGUUCUUCCAUGACCCUCCAUGGCAGAGAAUUCUUGGUGACGGGUCAGCCUGCUUCACUUUCAAAGCCAGCUGGGAAAAUUACCAAAGCUGUCAGUCACACACCGUGAUCCACAAGAGGGAGAAAACCUUGUUUGUGUGAGGAACGCCUACAGAUGUGUCUCCAGGAAGCAGAAGUCACAGCCAGGCGGAGACCUUGCCUGACACGGGCAGCUCAAGGCAACAGCAGCUCCACCGCUUCUCCCUGGUUCCCAAGCUCAUCAAUUCCACCUCAAAUACACAGAGACCCAAGGACAGGAGGCGCUGCUGCACCCAGCACUCUUCAUCUCCGAAGUGAGCCUGCGGGGUGACCAACUGCCUUGCAUGGACGGACAGCUGGCGGAAGAGCCUGCAACGUGACCUGCAUUUACAAACAUGAGGAAACCCACUCACCUUCAGUUGUUACUCCUUUCAUGAAUUCUUUUGGUUAUAGCUGUGCCUAUGGCUUUACGGGCUUCACCUGAUAAAUGGUCUUCUGUACUAUGGACAAUUUGGACCCGUAAACCUGGCCUUGAACUAGGUGACACUGAAAUGUUACAGACAAAUCAGAACGUCACAUUCCCUUUAAAUAUUCCCCGCACACAUGCACCAGGCUGACUGGUGGAUACUGGGGUGUGAAAUGAGAGAAACAGCCCCCACUGUGCAGAUGUGGGGACAUGAUUAUUAUCAAUUAACCACAGGCUGCACCUCAGCUCCUGCACACCAGGUGCCUUGUGCCGGUGGCUCUGUAGCAUGGGCCUGUUUAUCUUCAAAGCCAUUUUGUGGCUUCUGGAAAAGGCAAACAAGCUCAGGACAUUGUAUCUCCAAAGAGCACAUCUCUUAAAAGAUUCUUGCCAUAGCUAGUUACACCAAAGGCCCAUUCAAACCCCAUGUUCUACUUUAACAGAAGUGAAAAACCACAAGCAAAGAUGGCAUUCCAAAAUAAGGCAGAAUAUCUAAGACAGGAAGGCCAUGUGUGCAAGGAUGGUGUGAGCCUCCAGACUGUAGUGUGGGAGCUCACACUGAAGCAUUCCUGGUGAUGCCCACCUCCACUAAGAACUACCGUGCUGCCUUCUGACCCGUGAGGCUAAUGGACUGGCACAGGUGUGUGAACAUCAAGAACACUGUGACAUGCCACUGCCACAUAGGGAGGAGCAGCAGGUGAGGAGAGGCCUUCCCUGUUCUCUGAUACCCAACAAACAUGCAAGCUCUCAACGCCUCGCUCCAUGAUGCCCGCUGCUCAGCUUCUCUGCAUGGGCAGUUUCUGAAUUUCACCUCAGGCCCUUGAAGGGGUCAGUCUGAGUCCUUUCCAAGAACCCUACAACUGCCUUCCACUCAUGAAGACGCUCAUGGCCCUGAAAGCAUGGUAGCCACCCAGAAUCAGACACCUGUAGUUAUCUCCUGCCUGGGGCUCUGGCAGGUGGUGGUGGGUGUCAGGCUGACUGGUGGAUACUGGGAUGUGCUGGCGUAUUCCCUCUGUUUUUAAUAUGUUUGGAAAAUUUCAUUAAGCAAAAAAAAAAAAAAAAAAAGAGUAAUUACUUAGGCUAUUAAAAUCAGUUUAAAAUCAUGCAGUGGGUAGCUCAAAAGUUCUACUUCCUUCACACCAAGGAAAUUAGUUUAUGAAACAUUAAGUGCCCCAGUCAAGAGAGCAGCCGAUAGGUUUCAAAUUAAACACACCAAGUACAGAUUUACAAACUAAAAGGGGCAGCACUGUCAGAGUGAGAGGAGAGCCAACUACAGUUCCAAGAGGCGAGCUUUCUUCUGUCCUUCCAUUCCAAGAUAUCAACUUUCAAUACAAAUGCAUCAGUAUUUGUUAUUAAAAUACCCUUAGGAAAAAAGAGAGCUUCCAGAUAACAGUUCUGAGAAAAAUGUGAAAACUUUUACUGUUACAUUAAGAACAGGUGGUAGAAGCAACCUAUUCCGCACUUCUCAAAAGAUACAGAGGGGCACAUAUGCCACACUGGAAUAAAGAAUACAGAAUCAAACAUGUACAAAGGUACCACAGCAGGUUAUGGUUCAUACAGGACUUUAAAUGACCCAUGUUGACAAUACAAUUUGCAAAAAAUAUGAGAAAAGCAAUACAUAUUUCUGAAACAAAAACAUACCUGUUGUAAAAAACAACACGCGUAGUAUCAGAAUAGAACAGUUAACAGAGCAGCAGUUACUGAAGACAGACGGCAACAGGCAGCUGCGCCAGCCAUGGGUCUGCCAUGCGGCUACACCCAUGAGGCCCUAUUGUGAACAACGCAACGUUCUCCAUCAGCGGGGAAGCACACAGACUGCUUGGCCACCAAGCUUUCCGCCUGGUCUGUUCAUACUGAGAUUUAGCAGUAACAGCCCAGAAGGGAAUGCAGCUCCCCGCUCCCUAUGACAUCAAUGUCUUCAACACAUGUGUAAGAUUCUUUCUGGAGCCCCUAGCUCCUCCACUCUUCAAAACUAACAACGCAGAGAAAGAGAAAUAAGAAAGCAAAGACAUCACAUUGCCUUAGAAAAGCUGUCCUCAACUCAUCUUCUCUACAUGUUUUCAGAUCACGUCCUGACGGAAUGGAAGGAGCAGCUCCACCUCCCCGAGGCUUCCGUGGACUCCGCACACACACGACCACCAGUCUUCAGUCAUGUGCCAUGGAGACUUUGGUCCCAACCAGUGUCUGCCUUUUCUAGAAACUGGAGACCCUGAUUCAAAUGGCAAGAUGUGUUAGUUCCCAUUUGCCUUGCAAUAACCCUAUGCUUCACAAAGAUUCCAGACUAGGGGUUAUUCCUCACCCAAUUUCAUGCAUCUGGAACACAGAGUACCAGAAUACUCUCACAUUUUAUUUCAAGGCACUCUCCAGCAGAAAGUAUAAUAAGAAUAAACUACUUUGUAAAAUGUGCCAUUUUUAUAAAGACAACAGUGAGAUCCAAAAUGAGACAAAGUAGAAUUAUACUGAAUGUUCAUUAUCCCAAAGUGGCUUAAUUUCAUUUGCUUGCUGCAAAGACAAAGACUGUAAAAAGGAGCAAAGAAAGUGUGCAAAGCACUUCCUUGGAAGACCUCGUCCACUAACAGAUCACAAGAAAAGCAAGUGCAGCCCCUCACACGAAAGGAAGGCAGGCAGUAACAUCGGAGACUUCCCAGUCUCCCCGACGUCUGCUCACGCUGGAUGCUGGCACUGGCUUAUCAUGAAGGGAAGGAGAGCAGUAACGCUGGAGACUUCCCAGUCUCCCCGACAUCUGCUCAUGCUGGAUGCUGGCACUGGCUUAUCAGCUACCCACUGGCUGAAAUGGAAAUCAACACCAGCACUUCACGUGACAGCCACAUAGUGACAGUCCAGGCACGUGAAUGACCCCAUUUGUGUUCCCCUAGUUUGUGGAGAGACUUCCUAUUGCUGUGCUUCUCACACCCUCUAGUUUUAAGAAUAUGUCAAAUUGAUGAUAUAUUAUGCAAGUAAACGAUCUUAUAUACACGAAUAGUGAAAGGUAAUUAGGAAUAUGCUGAAUCACCUGGUGCUGUUGAAGAAAACGUGCAGAUGCAUCUCUCUCACCUCACCGCUUUCUUCUAGCUUCUGCUAUAUUUCAUCCCCUAUUAGUUACUCUCUUUCCCUCCAACUUAUCUUCAUCCUCAAACCUCAGAGGAAAUAAUCGCAAGGGUCACAUCUGGGAGAGUGGUAGUUGGAAGGCAGCAUUUCUAGGGGGUAGGGAAGCACCACCUCCCCAGCACCGCAUCCUUACAAAAUCUAAAGGGCAACCAAUGGGUCAGUCUGGAGGCCGCCAUGCUUCUGUAACAACCGCAGCAAUUUUAUCUUUGCAUCUCUUACUGGAUUAUAUAAGCCAUCUAGGUAAAGUAAACACUGCCAAAAGCUCCUACCCACUGGAAAGAGAAGUAGAGGGCUUGAAAACACAACUUCGCCAGGCUCCAACACAGAAAGAAGCAUCAUUCAGAGGCGAGAACAAUGCUGUGGACGCCUCCUGAUCAACACUCAAGGGAUGCAGGAGCUCGGUGAGGACGGUCCCUCAGAGGCAGAUGACCCGACCGGCUCAGGUACUGGCAAGCUGGCCACCAGACCUAGACCAUGCUUGUCGAGAUGCCUUGCUACUUGAGAAUAAGGCGAGAUCCCAGAUUCAAGUGCUAGCAGCAUUCUGCCCCUCAGAUGCGCCGGCAGGCUCCACUGGCUCCAAAGGACGCCCUUGGAUGGGUCAGCAAUUCCACGAACAUCCACUAAACCAACACUUAGCACUGCUCAGUGGGGUCAACAGUGCCCGGUGGUCCGCUGCAAUGAAUCCAAACACAUCUGUGCCCAGAGCUACAAGGCCAUGUGCCCAUCAACUGUCCCGACUCGCAGGCAAUGCACGCAGCCCUGCACCACUUCCCUCCUGCCCACCACGGAGCAGGGGACAGUUCUGUGAGUGAACAGAAGCAGGACAUCGGCAGAGCCAGCUGACGAUGGAGGAUGAGAUGCUGCCGAGAUGCUGGAGGGCAGAUCACUGAGGAUGAACACGCGUUCCUUCCGCCAACAGUCGUGCACCACCUGCUGGGGCUCUGCGUCCCCACCGGCCAAGGGCUGCCUCGCUCUAAUGAAGGCCGCUCACUCAGCACAGGGCCAAGUGGCCUUUCCAGCUGCAGGUACCAGAAAAAGCCACUGCCGCUAUCACAGGGGGAAGAACGCCCCAAAGACAAAAGGUCAUUUGAGAUGAUUAACAUCUUUUAGAGGCCAUUUUGGUCAUUCUUGAAAUCAAAGAGAAACCUUUAUUUUCAACAAAACUGCCCAGAAGAGAUGGUUCAUUG